GAAUAUCUGUGGGAUUUUUUUUUGUCCUUCCAGAGACACGUUCUGUGACCAGCAGCCCAGUUCCUGCUCCAUCAGCCCCCCAAAUAUCAAAAAGUUCCAAGCCUUUUGGUUAUGGAUAUCCAGCACUGCAGCCUGGCUACCAAAAUACAGUGCCACCUACUCCUGUGCAGCAGCCCAGUAAUCCAGGCCACCAUCCUGGGUUUCAGCAUUAUCCACAGCAAUAUCCAGGUGUGAACCAGCUGUCCUCUUCCUUAGGAGGCUUAAGUCUACAGCAUUCUCAGCAGCCAGAAGGCUUGAGACCAGUAAACCUUACACAAGACAGGAAUAUUUUGCCUGUAUCUUCAGUUCCAGCUCCUGUGCCUAACUUGAAUUCUGAUCUUAGGAAAUUAAACUGCAGUCCAGAUUCAUUUCGAUGUACGCUGACAAAUAUUCCACAGACACAGGCUUUGUUAAACAAAGCUAAGCUUCCAUUGGGUUUGUUGCUACAUCCUUUCAGAGACUUAACGGUAAAGUA